UGUGAACAUUUCUAAACUAAUUUCUUCAGUAAACAAAUUAAACUGGCCACAUGCAAGGUCGGGUUCUGUGCUCUACAUACAAUUAUAAAUCGAACAAAUUGAUCUUAAGAUUACUAAGUAAAACCAAGUAUCACAGUAAGAAGAAGACACCAAUGAGUAAUUGGAAUGUAUCAAGUCCUGAAAAAAUCAUCUUAGGUGUUUUACAGUUAGUCAGCGGACACAUGACCACCAGCACAGCACUACCCAUUUUCUGAUCAAUUGUUUCGUCCAAGCACCAUCAGCUGCUCAUUACGGACAGUCCAAGAGCAUUAAAGCAACCAUUGAAGCAAAGCGGCAACAAGCUAAGUCUUCGGCUGAUCUCCAGCAACAUAGGUGGCAAGGUGGCGUCAGUGAAGGUCAAGUUAAGCCUGACGAACAUGUCCUUCAGGUUGUACGGCGUGUGUCGUUCCUGUGUGCCGGCACGCCAAAGAGUUCCCGCCCAUCUCGCCGAUGGUCGUACAUAGGGUGGCGGGAGGGCAUCGCUGCGAGCCACCGUGGUGGUCGGUGUCGACCUGGUUGCUGAGACACCAAAGUGCCUGUCAAUUGUUAACGACGCCGAAGUGCCUGUCAAUAAAAUUUACUGGAAAUACCAGUCUAUAUAGCUCAACAUCAGGAGAUGCAGGACCACAUGAUAUAUUGGGUCUUUAACAGAAUCAAAUACAUGGUCAGAGUGUUCCUGAGAUUGAUGGUUUUUCAAAUCAGUUUCUGCUAUUGUAUAAGUUAGCCAUGAACAAGGUUUGCUAUUCUAUAAGUUAGCCAUGAACCAGAUUUGCUAUUCUAUAAGUUAGCCAUGAACAAGGUUUAUACCAAUAAUUCUGGAAAAUAACAAUAAUAAGAACACCACUGCAGCUAGUAAAAAAAUCAUGACAAGAUAUAGACGGAAAGAAUGCUUAGUACAGAUGCAAUUAAAGGGUUUGCUUUCAGUCAAGGAAUAUAGCAUUACGUCAAUAGCAAAACGUGAUUAUAUUACAGCCUUGUCAGCAAAUUGAGAAAUAUUGGGCAUCUCAAUUCCUAUAAGGAGAAUUGGAGUUUCUGGAAAAGAGAUUUCUGAAUUAUUGAAGAUGCCUUUUUGCCAGAAUGGCUAAUCAACAUGUUUAUAAAAUAGACUGAACAGUAACAUAGUGGAAGUAAACCAAACCUUCUUACACUAACUAUGACAAGUUUCAGUGUUACAUGAACACAACCCAACUACGACGACUCUGUAUUGUCGUCGGGCUGUCGGAGACCGCCCAAUAUACCCUCGUUUCCUAAAGUAUGCCAAGGAAUUGAUUAGAUUAACCUGUAAAAAAUAGUAAUCAGUACCAAUGAGCAUUAGAAUAUACUUAGUCAUUACUACAUGGAGCUAAAGCUGCAGUUUUUUAUAUAUAUACGUAAGUUAGUAGCUGAUGUAAUUCCAGCAGCACCUCAGUUGUCGUUGAGCUCCUUUGUACAAC
rnacentral:lncRNA from 1 species